rnacentral:snoRNA from 1 species
CCGGCAUCCACGAACAAUCCCGCCCGGAGUAUACUACUGUUGAUCUCUUGCGCGGACCUACGGGUGCCUAGA